rnacentral:rRNA from 1 species
AGAGUUUGAUCAUGGCUCAGAAUGAACGUUGGCGGCGUGGAUUAGGCAUGCAAGUCGUGCGAGAACUUGUAUUUUGAAGCUUCGGCUGAUGAAUGCAAGGGAAAGCGGCGUAAGGGAGAGUAACGCGUGGAUACCUACCCUCGGGACCGGGAUAGCGGCGGGAAACUGCCGGUAAUACCGGAUAAAGUCCCCGGACCAAAGGUGUGAUUCCGCCUGAGGAUGGGUUCGCGUCCUAUUAGCUUGUUGGUGGGGUAAUGGCCUACCAAGGCAAAGAUGGGUACCGGGUGUGAGAGCAUGGCCCGGCUCACUGGGACUGAGACACUGCCCAGACACCUACGGGUGGCUGCAGUCGAGAAUCUUCGGCAAUGGGCGCAAGCCUGACCGAGCGACGCCGCGUGCGGGACGAAGGCCUUCGGGUUGUAAACCGCUGUCAGAGAGGUGGAAAUGUAUUGGGGUCAUCCCCAUUAUUUGACCUAAUCUCAGAGGAAGGACGGGCUAAGUUCGUGCCAGCAGCCGCGGUAAGACGAACCGUCCAAACGUUAUUCGGAAUCACUGGGCUUAAAGAGUGCGUAGGCGGCCUAGAAAGUUGGGUGUGAAAUCCCACGGCUCAACCGUGGAACUGCGCUCAAAACUUCUAGGCUUGAGGGAGAUAGGGGUGAGCGGAACU